rnacentral:lncRNA from 1 species
CCCAGUGCUCCCAGUUACCGACGAUGCGCAGGCACAUCUCGGCCGUGUCCUCCAUGCCCUCGAUGCCAACGCUCAUCCUCGUGUCCCCAGUCAGUCCCAGUCCCUCCCAGUGCUCCCAGUUCCCAAUCCCAGUCACUCCCAGUCACUCCCAGUCGCUCCCAUCACUCCCAGUUCCCAAUCCCAUCACUCCCAGUCACUCCCAUCACUCCCAGUUCCCAAUCCCAGUGAUCCCAGUCGCUCCCAGUGCUCCCAGUUACCGACGAUGCGCAGGCACAUCUCGGCCGUGUCCUCCAUGCCCUCGAUGCCAACACGGCCUGGUGUUCCCAGUCACUCCCAGUGCCCCCAGUUCCCAAUCCCAGUUACUGUCAUCAUUCCCAGUUCCCAAUCCCAGUGUUCCCAGUCCCUCCCAGUUCCCAAUCCCAGUGUUCCCAGUGCUCCCAGUUCCCAAUGCCAUCACUCCCAGUCACUCCCAGUCGCUCCCAGUGCCCCCAGUUCCCAAUCCCAUCACUCCCAGUCACUCCCAGUGCUCCCAGUUCCCAAUCCCAGUGUUCCCAGUCACUCCCAGUGUUCCCAGUCCUUCCCAGCGCUCCCAGUUACCGACGAUGCGCAGGCGCAUCUCGGCCGUGUCCUCCAUGCCCUCGAUGCGCACACUGAGCCCAGCGCUCCCAGUGCCCCCAGUCACUCCCAGUGCUCCCAGUCACUCCCAUCACUCUCAGUUCCCAAUCCCAGUAUUCCCAGUCACUCCCAUCACUCCCAGUUCCCAAUCCCAGUGAUCCCAGUCACUCCCAGUGUUCCCAGUCGCUCCCAGUGCUCCCAGUUACCGACGAUGCGCAGGCGCAUCUCGGCCGUGUCCUCCAUGCCCUCGAUGCCAACGCUCAUCCUCGUGUCCCCAGUCAGUCCCAGUCGCUCCCAGUGCUCCCAUCACUCCCAGUUCCCAAUCCCAGUGAUCCCAGUCGCUCCCAGUGCUCCCAGUUCCCAAUCCCAGUCCCUCCCAUCACUCCCAGUUCCCAAUCCCAGUGCUCCCAGUCCCUCCCAGUCCCUCCCAGUGCUCCCAGUUACCGACGAUGCGCAGGCGCAUCUCGGCCGUGUCCUCCAUGCCCUCGAUGCCAACACGGCCUGGUGUUCCCAGUCACUCCCAGUUCCCAAUGCCAG